rnacentral:rRNA from 1 species
GAUGAACGCUGGCGGCGUGCCUAAUAUAUGCAAGUCGAGCGAACGGACGAGAAGCUUGCUUUUCUGAUGUUAGCGGCGGACGGGUGAGUAACACGUGGAUAACCUACCUAUAAGACUGGGAUAACUUCGGGAAACCGGAGCUAAUACCGGAUAAUAUUUUGAACCGCAUGGUUCAAAAGUGAAAGACGGUCUUGCUGUCACUUAUAGAUGGAUCCGCGCUGCAUUAGCUAGUUGGUAAGGUAACGGCUUACCAAGGCAACGAUGCAUAGCCGACCUGAGAGGGUGAUCGGCCACACUGGAACUGAGACACGGUCCAGACUCCUACGGGAGGCAGCAGUAGGGAAUCUUCCGCAAUGGGCGAAAGCCUGACGGAGCAACGCCGCGUGAGUGAUGAAGGUCUUCGGAUCGUAAAACUCUGUUAUUAGGGAAGAACAUAUGCGUAAGUAACUGUGCACAUCUUGACGGUACCUAAUCAGAAAGCCACGGCUAACUACGUG